AAUGAUUCUACUAUUAAGCUCUUGUAAAAGAAACAACAACAACAACUACCCAGUAUCUUCCCACCAGGUGGGGUCAGGGGAGGGUAAUAUGUAGACGAGCCUUACCCCUACCCGAAAAGGUAGAGAGGCUGUUUCCAUUCGACCCUCGGCGCAUAGGAUAAAAUGAAAGCUGCAUUAAAACAAAAACAAAGACAAAAUUAGAAACAAAAACAAGACAAAACAAAACAAUAAAGCAUUAGUAAAUCCCGCAGAAAUAACGUAAAU
rnacentral:lncRNA from 1 species